rnacentral:lncRNA from 10 species
CGUGGGCGUAGGACCCUCUGAGCCAGGUGUGGGAUAUAGUCUCGUGGUGCGCCGUUUCUUAAGCCGGUCUGAAAAGCGCAAUAUUCAGGUGGGAGUGACCCGAUUUUCCAGGUGCGUCCGUCACCCCUUUCUUUGACUCGGAAAGGGAACUCCCUGACCCCUUGCGCUUCCCAGGUGAGGCAAUGCCUCGCCCUCCCAUUCUCACUCUCUUUAUGUAGGAAACAGAUAUCUACAAAUACCUAUCACCAACUUUGACCUCUCCCUGAGCACCGGCACAUCUUUCACUGAAUUAUUGAGUAAGACAUUGUCCUAGGAACUUGGCAUAUACAUAACGACAAGAGCAAACAAGAGAGAUGCAGACUCUCUCCCUACUGGGCUUGCAGUCUAAUCGUAGACACAAAAGAUUACAACACACUGUCAUAAGACUAUAAUGGGGAAAGCUUAGGGCACUGUGGGAUGGCACAGGGAGACCAUCUACCUGGAUUUGAGGAUUAAGAACUUCCAAGGGGACAUGACACAAAAGCUGAAGCCUAAAGUAUUCCAUCUGCCCCUCUAACAUGCAGUUUGAGAGGAGCUAACCUUGACAAGAGCUUCAGAGCAUGAAGCUAAAUCAUCGCUGAAUAUGCAGAAGGAUGCCCCAAACCACAACCAUCAUUCCAGACUGGGAAGAUCCAGGAAAGGGGAGAAAUUGGGUGCUGCUCCUUGAAAGGAACCUUCCAAACAGUGGGCUCUACCUGCACUACACAUUGCAAUCACCAGCAGAGUGCUCAGAAAUCCCAGGCCAUGCCCCAGACCCAUGUAUCAGAAUCUCUGGGCCAAGACCCAGACACUGCGGUUUUUGAAAGCUACCCAUCAUUCCAAUAUGUGGCCAGAGUUGAGGAACUUUGCAUUAAAAAAAAAAAGGCAAAAAAGUUGAGGACCUUUGCUUUAAAAAAAAAAAAAAAAAAGGCAAAAAACUAAAAACUGAAGUAUUUCAACAUCCCCCCAAUUUUUUUUUCCUUUGGCUAAAGUCCAAAGAUGGGAAGAAUAAUAUAUUGCUGCCCUUUCUGAGUGCCUUACUGCUUUCCAAGCUGUAAGACCUGAAGGUCUUGGCUGAAGAACAGCUGCUUCUCAGCCAUUCAAGCCUGUGUGUUUACUCCUGUCCUCUACCAUCUCCUGCCUGCUCCUUUAGCUCACUUAACAACAUAUUCUUCUGUUCAAGGACCAGUCAUAUCCAUGUAUUAGAAACAACUAGAAUCUUCCAGGGAGAUUCCAAGUCACCUUUAUCAUUCUCUACCCCUUGUCGCCAGGAUGUACUAGCAUGCCCAGCACCUGGGCUUUUUGACUCAAUGAAUGCUUUCAACAGCAAGACCUUGUAACCUCAAGAGGUAACUCAUGCUGUCUUUGAGUGCUGGUAUGUUUUAAACGAACAAGAUUCAUAAUCCUUUUUAGGAUAGCUCAAAGCAUAAAAGGAAUGAUAGGAAAAAAGAUGAGGGAGGAAAAUUAUUAAAGUGUUUAGUGAGAGAUAUACACAUGCAGACUGGAUAAUGGUUUUAGAAUAUAAGACAAAAAUUGCUACAUGUCACUGCACCAGGACUCCUUUAGAACUUGCUGGAAGGCUUGGUGUUUAUGGGAUCAGCUUUACGUAGGAGAUACAGAGCUAAUGUUUAUGCCCAAGAAGCUGGCAAAACAGAUUUAGAGAGCACAAGAUAAAAGACACUGCAUAACUCAGCAGAAGCAGAAAAAAAUUAAUGAAGUUAAAAUACAGAGGUGGAAAGUGUGUAGAGCACACUGACAUUAGAAGACCCAUAAAGAUGAAUAAUGGUGACUUCGCCUCACAGAAUCAAAUCUGUUAGAUUACUACUCUGUGGUUGAAAGGAACUUGUCCUCUGUGUCUCUGAGUUGUAUGAUUCUUGGGUCACUGAACACACUGGCUUUACCUUGUGGCUUACCCAUUGUGAGCCAGAUUUUCUCUAUGGCUGGAGCCACAAAAUAAUAUGUGGUAGAAGCUUAAAAGAUUCAGUUAAUUCAACAACAGAAGCAUUUAUUACAUAAGAAAAAAACUUAACAGUAUGGCUUAAACCGCUAGCUUAAAAGUAACAGGAGUCUUGUCCUCCUGCUCUGCAUCUAACUCCAGGGUGGUGCCGGGAGAGCCUCAAAUCCCGCUUCUGGCCUUUGCGCUUGGGGUUCUUUCUGCCUGGAACAUUCCUCCUCAGGUAUCAGCAUGGCUAACUCUUCACUUCUUUCAGGCCUUUGUUCAAAUGCAUCUUCCCUGUGAGGCCUUUCGUUGACAUCCCAUCUAAAAUUUCAAUAGAUCCCUUACAUAUACACAUGCAUAAGUGUGCACACAUGCACACAGACACACACACACUUUUUUCCUUUAGCACUGAUCACUGUCUAGUACACUAUAUAUUUUACUUAUUUGUCUUAUUUCUUGUCUAUCCUCCUCUUCUCCCAUUGAUGUGUAAACUUCACAAAGGCAAUGAUUUUUGUCUAUUUUGUUACUGAUAUAUCCUCCAAUACCUACAACAAUGAUGAGCACAUGUCCAACAGGAGAUGUUUAAUAAAAGUUUAUUGAAUGUACAAAUGAAUCUUACAUGACCUCAUGAGAGUUGGUGUUCCAGUGUAAAUGAAUGCAAAGUUAAAAUGUGUAUUUAUUGCAAUAAUUCAGAUAUAAAUCUAACCACAUUCUCUCAACUUAAAACUGAGGUUAAGAGCUUCCUCUAAGAUAAUUAUUGGUUCAUAUAAACUAUCCAAAGUACACCCUCUUUUGCAGAAAUAUGAUCAGAUAUUCAGUUUCUCAGGGAAUUUAU